UAAUGGAUGUAAUGCCACUAGCCGCUGC
rnacentral:sRNA from 1 species